rnacentral:lncRNA from 10 species
GGUCCCCUCCCACAUUGUGGGAGAUUUGUUCUUUCCCCUUUUGCAAUAAAUCUUGCUGCUGCUCACUUUUUAGGUCCACACUACCUUUAUGAGCUGUAACACUCAUGGUGAAGGUUUGCAGCUUCACUCCUGAAGCCAGCCAGACCAGGAACCCACCAUGAGAAACAAACAACUCUGGAGCCGCCAUAAGACUCACUGUGGCUUUAAGAGCUAUAAGACUCACUGUGAAGGUCUGCGGCUUCACCCCUGAAGUCAGCCAGACCACGAACCCACCGGGAGGAACAAACAACUCCGGACGCACCACCUUUAAGAGCUGUAACGCUCACUGCAAAGGUCUGCGGCUUCACUCAUGAAGUCGUGCAUAGACCACGAACCCAGUAGAAGGAAGAAACUCCUGACACAUCUGAACAUCUGAAGGAACAAACUCUGGACACACCGUCUUUAAGAAGUGUAACACUGCGAGGGUCCGCGGCUUCAUUCUUGAAGUCAGCGGCACCAGGAACCCAUUGGAGGGAACCAAUUCCGGACACACAGCCUCGUGGAAUGGUUCUGCACAGUGUGUGUGUGUUUCCCGUCAACCCUGUGCACACUAUUAAAAGAACACAAGCGCUAAGCCUCCCUCUCAGACCUACUGAUGCAAGACAUUGUGAUUUUGACCUUGUUGGAUGCUGCACCUAAAGGUGGAUGGAAGAGGAAGAGUCUUGGGGGCUACCAUCCUGGCUGGAGAAGCUGGCACGAGGCUCCCUCUUGUGGAUGCAGCAAGGUCUAGGAAAUGGAGGCACAGUGAGAUAAAAUAAGUUGCUCAAAGCCAUAUGGCAAUUAAGACUUGAACUCUAAAAGGGUUUUAUUUUUAUUUUUAUUUAAUUAAUUAAUUUUUUUGAGACAGAGUCUUGCUCUGUUGCCCAGGCUGGUGUGCAGUGGCACAGUCACAACUCACUGCAGCCUCAACCACCUGAGCUCAAGGGAUCCUCCCAUCUCAGCCUCCCAAGUAGCUGGGACCACAGGAAGGUGCCACCAUGCAAGGCUAAUUUUUUAUUUUUAGUAGAGAUGGGGGUCUCACUAUGUUGCCGAGGCUGGUCUUGAACUCCUGGGCUCAAGCAGUUCUUCCAUCUCAGGCUCCCAAAGUGCUGGGGUUACAGGCUGUGCUCGGCCUGUUUUAUUAAUCUCUAAGUGCCCUGCAUCUGCUCUAAGGAGUGUGGCAUAGUCCUUGAUACUGGAUAACUGAGUAACGCAGGUAGUUUGUAUGAGAAGUGCAGUAACCACAUGGUGAAUGGAAGAUGAUGCUGUACACUUGCCCGGAGUUCACAGCUGGGACACUGCGGUUACCAGGACGCAGCUUCCAGAAUGGCUGACUAAAACUAGAAAAUGCAGACUCCACUGGGUCUUUGUGUUUCUGUUUUUUAAACGGGAAAAUUAAUUCUGCCAUUUACCUUCAAAGAGUUAGUGGGAGUGACAUAAAAUUGUUGAUAAAAAUCUUUGGAAGUCUCAGUGAGGGGAUCUGCUAUAAUGAAAUAAUGAAAUAAUUGAUGAAAUUAUUUUGUUCGUAAACAGUCUGAGGGCCAAGGGAAGAGAAGAGUGACAUAGAAUCUCCUUUCCUUGAGAUCUUAGAAUCACGCCUGCCUCCUUACCUCCAUCCAGGACUGUUAAAAAUCUCCCAAGGCAGAGACUUUUAGGCCUACAUGUACUUAGCCUCCUCUUCCCACCUCCUGUUCAUCUCUGUUUCCAAUGUUCCACUGCCAUCACUGCCAGGAAGUUCUGCAGAGAAGAAUGAAGAAGAACCGUAUGAUCCUAAACAUGUUCUUUGAAGAUAUUAUCAACCCACCAUUGGCCUUAUUUACUGGAAUGUUUUUAUAACCUUUAUUUGACACCUCUUCCCAUCAUUUAAAAUAAAUCUGGUGCUUCCCUGAAUAAUCUCUUGAGAUUUGUACAUGUCUCCCAGCAUCAUAUUUGUCCUUUUAACAAGCACACUCCUUCCACUGCUCAUGGCCAACUCAGGUUCACUACAAUCAGGGAAUCUAUGUCUUGCAACAAUCAGGUCUAUAUCAAACUUGAAUUUAUUUUCUUUUGUUUCUGAGAACUGUAAUUCCACUCCAAGGCCUAUACUGUACCCAACAGAGCUGCAUAUAUGUUUAACGAAAACAUGUCUUAGAAUAUUCACAAUACUUCUACUACUUAUGCCCUCAAACUGCAAACUACCCAAAUACCGGAGAAUAGAAUGGAUGAAUGAAUUGUAGUAAUAUUUAUUGAAUGCAAUAUAAUAAUGAUAAUGAAUUAACUGGAACUAUAUCCAAGAAGGAUGAAUCUCACAGACAUUAUGUUGGCUGAAAUGAGCCAAUCACAGAAGUGUACAUACUCUAUAACUGCUACAGAAAGUUCAAAGAACAGGCAAAACCAAUGCACAAUGUUAGAAGCUGGGAUUGCAUUUAUCCUGGGGUAGGGGAUGGGGUAUUGGCUGGAAGUAGGGGUGAGGAGGCCCUCUGCUGUUUUUGUUGUAUUCUCUUUAUCUGGGUGCUGGUUUUGAGGGUGUGUUCACUUUGUGAAAAUCCACUGAGCUGUAAACUUAUGUACAUUUCUAUAUGUGUGUUUUUAUAAAACUUACAGAAAACAAAGAAGAAAUAUAUUGCCGUAUAUUGAUUGGACUCUAUUCUGGGCUAUCUUGGAAACUGCAGCUUGAAGACAGCUAGGCCUCAGCAUAUGCCCUGACCUCCUGCAAUCUAAGCUCUGGAUCCUGGUCAACUUUGGGAGAAUAAUCAAGCCAAUUUUCAGAGAAGCAGUUUCUAUGUCUUUCAGGUCCUUGUGUCCUAAGGGAUUAGGAGCAUUAGGGACCUGGUCUCAGUGUGAUCCUGAGAGCUCAUCCAUUCUCUGGUCAUCCUUCAAGGAAAUGCCAGGCUCCUGAAUUCAUCUGCACAAACAGAGCUGGCCAGGCUACCUGCUGCCCACCAUCCCAUUGUCUUUCCUGCAUUGUUCUGGGACUCUGGCCACACUUACCUUCCAAAAUAACUGUGCAGUUGUCAUCAUUGUUCAGGAGACUAUUUUGGAACACUGGCUUAGCUUGGUGACGUGUAGAGAUCCAGGAAGGGCCUCAGCUGUCGGGAGGGAGGCCCAGGGCCAUCAGGGAGCUGGGGGUGGUAAGAAGUGACAGGGAUUGGGCUUCAGGAGGUGUGGAGGGGCCCAGGGGGAGCACCAUUUCUGACAAGUGUUCAGUCUUGGUGUGGAGAAUUGCAAAGAAAGAGGAGAAAGGAUUUGGGGGGAUUGGGUGCAGGUUGGAGGGAAGCUGGGAGGGGAGAAAAGAGUGAAGGAACAUUAGAUUGAUUAGUGCUGGAGGAAGAGGUAAGGAGAGACUUCGUUCACAGAGGAGGGGCUGGGAAGUGAGGGUAUGAGUUAAAGGGCACUAAUGGUAUGCUGACAUAUUGUUUCAAGAGUGGUUUCUGUAGCCUGGAGGACUUAAGGACAGCUGUUGGGAAUCUACGGGGUGAUAGAAAAGUAAGUGGGAGAAAGGGGAUGUGAUGAUUGAUGGGCAGCUUAGUGUCGAGUCAGGUGACAUCCUGCCAUGUUUAGCAAUGUAAUAAGUGGUCAGAUGACCUCACAAUCUUCAGGGCUGGGAGAUGGCAGAACCUUCUCACAGGGGUUGUGACAGAGGAGUUGGGUAGAUGUGUUCUCAGCAUAGAUGUGUUCUCAGUGGGCAAAGGUGGAAUUCCCUUCUCUUUUCUGUUUUCGCUUGACAACACAGGCCUGCAGAAACAGCAUACCAUGAGUUAAAACCCCUCAAUUGCAUGGGUUUUUGCACCCCCAUGAUUUGACAGGGUCUCUAGCUCUUUGAAAGUCUGCAACAAGACAGAAGAAAAGUCUGGGCUCCUGUGGGGGUGUUACAUGUGCUUGUGUACAAAUUAGCCCCCACAGGACUCUGCAGCUCCACGUUGCUCUGCUGGGCACUGGGGCCAUGUGCUCUGUUGGUCUAUGGGAACCUCUGUCUCCCUAGAGUUACAGUUUAAGAGAGGGGUUUCCAAAAAAGGUUGCUAAUGUCCCAGGAUUUUAUGGACUUUAAGUAAAACUUCUUUUUUUCUGUUGUACUCAGAAUGUUUUGAAGCUUUGUUCCUAGGUUACCUCACAGUGCCUGAAUUCUUUCCUUUCUUUUCUUAGACAUGGGGUCUUGCUCUCUCACCCACGCUGGAGCGUAGCAGCUAUUCACAGGUGUGAUCAUAGCACACCACAGCCUCCUGGGCUCAAGCAAUCCCCCUGCUUCAGCCUCCUGAGUAGCUGGGACCAUAAGCAGGAGCCCAUACCCAGCUUCAAUUCUUCUUUUCCUACAAUAAGUUCUGGUCCAGAAAAUUUUGCAACUCACCCCCGCCCUUCACUCCACAAAAAGACUUCCACUGGGAUUCCUGUCAAAAUGCCAGACUCACUUGAAUCCCUAGGAUGGAUCCAGCCUCGGUUUAAGUGCAGAUUCCUGCUUCAUCUCAGAGCCUGGCUGUUUUGAGGAGCAGGUGGUUUUACCCAUCCACCCACUCGCCCCUUGCUUCAUUGUCUAGGCCUGUCCUUUCUCACCUAGUGUCCUAAUCCCCUCCUCACUACCUCACAAUGGAGAAAGCUCUGUGUUGCUUUCUUUCAGGAUUUUCCUGCUUUUCAAAAGAGCUAGGGCACUAUGUGCUUUCAUGCAGGACCUAAGCAAAUAAGGACAUCUCAAGGAGAUGCCUAACUCUUAACCUGGUGCCCACCCCACCCUGGAGAGGACAGUUCUUGUUCAUAGUGUACAUGAUUGUUUAUGUCAAAGACCCAAUGAGUUUGCAAAGACCUCUUAGGACUAAUAAGUGAGUUUAACAAGUUUGCAGGAUAUAAGGUUAACACACACACACAAACAAAUCAAUUGUAUUUUUAUACAUCAGCAUAUUAGGGUUCUCUAGGAAAACAGAACCAAUAGGAUACACACACACACACGUAUAUAUGUGAGAGGUACACACACACGUGUGUGUGUGUGUUUAAAAAGAGCGAGGCAGAGAGAGAUUGGUUAGUUUUAAUGAAUUUGCUUGUGUGAUUGUAGGGGCUGGCAAAUUUGAAUUCUACAGAGCAGGCUGUCAUGGUGGAGACCCAAGGAAGAGCUGAUGUUGCAGCUCAUGCCUGGAGGCCGUCUGCUGGUAGAACUCCCUCUUUUCCAAGGAACCUCAGUCUCUCUUCUCAAGGCCUACAACUGAUUGGCAUCAUCUAGACUGGUGUUUGAGCCCAAACUGUCUACCAUGGCAUGGCCAAGUUGACACAUAAAAUUAACCUCAAGGCUGGGCGUGGUGGCUCACGCCUAUAAUCCCAGCACUUUGGGAGGCCGAGGCGGGUGGAUCACAAGGUCAGGAGAUUGAGACCAUCCUGGCAAACAUGGGGAAACCCCAUCUCUACUAAAAAUACAAAAAAAUUAGCUGGGAGUAGUGGCGGGCGCCUGUAGUCCCAGCUACUCAGGAGGCUGAGGCAGGAGAAUGGUGUGAACCCGGGAGGCGGAGCUUGCAGUGAGCUGAGAUCGUGCCACUGCACUCCAGCCUGGGUAACAGAGUGAGACUCCGUCUCAAAAAAAAAAAAAAAAAAUUAACCAUCACAACCAGAAAUGUGGAAUUGGAUAGGAAAAUUGAAAACCAGUACCACAUAGAAUACCAAAAAAUGAAAUAGAUAAACAUCUUACUGAAAGCUACAAAAUACCAGUGAAAAUACUCAAAGAAGAUAUAAACAAAUAACAAGAAACACCAUAUUUGAAGAUUGGAAGACUUAACUUUAAAAAGUUGCCAAUUCUGCCAAAACUGAUAUAGAGAUUUAAAACAAUUCCAGUCAAAAUCUCACCAGGACAUAUUGUUGCUAUAGACAAGCUGAUUCUAAUGUUUACAUGGAAAGUCCAAGGACUUGAAUAGCUAAAACAACUUUGAAAAAUAAGAAUAAUGGUGUAGGAAACAUGCUACCCAGUUUUAAAACAUACUACAAAGUUACAGUAAUCAGGACAGUAUGGUAUUGCCUGGGAACACAGAGCUCAAUGGAACAGAAUCGAGUCCAGAAAGAUAACUGCUUAAAUAUGGCCAUGUGAUUUUUGACAAGGGUGCAAGGGUAAUUCAGUAAAGGAUCAUAUUUUCAACAAAUGAUGUUAGAACAACUGAACAUUCACAUAAACAAAACAGACAAACAAGAAAACUGAAACCUUACAGCUUGUAUACAAAUGAACUCAAUAUUGAUGAGAUGUAAAAGUGAAGCUCUAAAAAGUUCAGAAAAGAACAUAGUAGAAAAUCUCUUCCUGGGAUUAGGAAAAGAGUUCUUAGACACGGUACUAUAAGCACGAUCCGAAAAAGUUGAUAAAUAGGUCUUUAUUGAAAUUAAAAGACUUAAGAUGCUAUUAAAAGAAUGAAAACAGUAUAGCCCAGGAGAAAAACUUUGCAAGUCACAUAUGUCACAAGACUUUGCAGAAUAUAUAAAUGGCAAAUAAAACACAAAAAGAUGUUCAAUAUCAUUAAGCAUUAGAGACUUGUAAACAAACCAAAUACACCUAUUAGAAUUGCUGAAAAAAGGAAAACCUUUGGUAAUACCAAGAACUGUUGAGAGCAAUUACAUUUUUUUUUUAUUAUUAUUAUACUUUAAGUUCUGGGGUACAAGUGCAGAACGUGCAGUUUUGUUACAUAGGGAUACAUGUGCCAUGGUGGUUUACUGCACCCAUCAACCCAUCACCUACAUUAGGUAUUUAUCCUAAUGUUAUCCCUCCCCUAGCCCCCUACCCCCCGACAGGCUCUGGUGUGUGAUGUACCCCUUCCUAUGUCCAUGUGUUCUCAUUGUUCAACUCCCAC